GGUGCAGCCCAGACAACACUGAAACCCUGGAAAUCUGCUGGCAGUGAGAAAUGCUCAUCUCCUUCCCCCUCUGUGCUGUGGUUCUGUUUACCCGAGAUUCUGCCAAGGCUUCCAUAGCUGAUACGAAGAAGUCUGGAAAGCCACCUCCACGCCCUGAUGUAGCACUACAGCACAGCCCUGAAGUGGCAGCUGUGAAAUGCAGAACAGCCAGACAAAGCUGGUAACACGUUUGUACAGCCUGGGGUGUCAGGAGGAAUCAGCUCCACAGAGCGGACGAGGAGACAGAGAAGUGAAGUUUUAGGUUCUCUCCUUGGUUUACUACAUUGCGAAGCAAGCUGUCCUCGAGUCCUCUGGGAAGCCUUUCUGCACAACAAUUAUCCCUCUCUUCGAGUCUGAAAAGGAAUUACUGCACGUGAAUCUGGCGAGGUUUGGAGAAGCACUGAAGGGUUCUUGCAUUAUGGACGUCAAAGUGUGACCCCACGAUUGCCAGAGGCCACCUAGCACCUCCCUCCAGAAGCACGUAUCGGGUCUUGACCACAGAGGGUGGUUAGUGAGCAGCACUGCAGUACACACAACCCAACCUGCUGCAAAAUGACUCCCCCAGAUGGAUCCCCUCCAUUGAGGAUAAUAUAAGUCAGACAUUAGAAGGUGGGGCACAACGCCGUGCUUGGGAAGAUGCUUUCCUUUGAAAUAAGGCUGAGCUACGAGGAAAAUUGCCUGCACAAGAGAUUUGCUGAAUUUAAGGUAUCAGAGAACAGAGGCAUGAAGCUGACAGUGUUACCCCAGGAUCCCCCCACGUAGCACUGAGGAUGCUCAGCACUCCCAGCUGAGCCCUGGCUCCUGGCUCCCUCCAAGAGUCUCCUGCGAAAACAGAGACAUUGUUGAAUAUUCUCUGAUUUGAUCUGGAUGAAAUCUCUCAUCAGAUCCUGCUGCUCUUCAUGGCAAAAUACCCACAGGCAACAGAGUCCAAUUUUUACCCGUUCAGCUUCAGGCAUAAAUUUGCUGUUUUCAAAGUGGAGACAGCAUCAGAUGGCAGAGCUAAGGGGAAAAAAAAAAAAAAAAGCCUUUCACCAGCUGUGAAAACUGCCCUUUUAAUUUUCAUGAAAAGAUAUGAGACGAGAACAAAAGAACUGUUCUGCUGGUUGCUUCAUUCUUCACUGGUGUAAUCGACAGCAAGUGUUUCCACUGAACUCUUAGGUGUCAUUAGCUGCUGGGUCUGAUUUUGGCUUCCCUCCUUUAGCCCUCGUGAAUUACCUCCUUCAAGACAUCACCUCCUAAAUUCACAUUCAAUUUUGGGGGGGGCGAGUUCCGUCUGUUCUGCUUGUGACAGGAAAAUGGUUUGUUCCUCUUGUCCUACCCAGGUUUCUCUGUUGUGGUAAAUUCUCUACCUGCUUCUGUUACUCCACUUUGAGGCCUCCCUUCAGAUGUUACUCUUUCUGUUUUACAUCUACCGCGUACCUCAUUAAAACCGCGCAUCCGU
rnacentral:lncRNA from 7 species